rnacentral:misc_RNA from 1 species
AAGUCGUAACAAGGUCUCCGUUGGUGAACCAGCGGAGGGAUCAUUACAGGAACUCGCAAGACUCCUACACCCACGGCGAACCUACCGGACGUUGCCUCGGCGGGCGCUGCGCCCGCCGGCGGCCCCCCACUCUGUCUCUGCAGCGUUGUGUCUCGAGCAACCAAAACAAGUCAAAACUUUCAACAACGGAUCUCUUGGCUCCA